rnacentral:rRNA from 1 species
GACGAACGCUGGCGGCGCGCCUAACACAUGCAAGUCGAACGGGACUAUACUGGAAAAAGUUUUCGGACGGAUUUCGGUUUAGUUUAGUGGCGGACGGGUGAGUAACACGUGAGCAACCUGCCUCCGAGAGGGGAAUAACGGCUGGAAACGGUCGCUAAUACCGCAUAACGCAUCGAGAGGACAUCCUUUUGGUACCAAAGAUUUAUCGCUCGAAGAUGGGCUCGCGUCCGAUUAGGUAGUUGGUGAGGUAACGGCCCACCAAGCCGACGAUCGGUAGCCGGACGGAGAGGUUGAACGGCCACAUUGGGACUGAGACACGGCCCAGACUCCUACGGGAGGCAGCAGUGGGGGAUAUUGCACAAUGGGGGAAACCCUGAUGCAGCGACGCCGCGUGUGGGAAGACGGUCCUCUGGAUUGUAAACCACUGUCCCCAGGGACGAAGAUGACGGUACCUGGGGAGGAAGCUCCGGCUAACUACGUGCCAGCCGCCGCAGUAACAC